rnacentral:lncRNA from 1 species
CAACAACCACCUCAUGGAGUGCCCAGCUGGGUGCAAGGCGGUGGUGUGGAAGUACAGCUUGGCAGCCCACUUCACAGCCAAGCACCCAGAGAAGCAGCUAGAGCAAAAGCAGCCCUUCAUCAUUGAGGGCAAGGAGAAGAAGCACAUGGACAAAGUGGCCAAGAGCGUGCACGCACCUCGCAGUAGUUAGAAACACACAGCUCGGGCUGUAUGCAGC